rnacentral:rRNA from 1 species
UACAGAGGUCCCAAGCGUUGUUCGGAUUCACUGGGCGUAAAGGGUGCGUAGGCGGUCGGGUAAGUCUGAUGUGAAAUCUCACAGCUUAACUGUGAAACUGCAUUGGAUACUAUUCGGCUUGAGAGUUGGAGGGGGGACUGGAAUUCUUGGUGUAGCAGUGAAAUGCGUAGAUAUGCGGAGGAACACCGAUGGCGAAGGCAGCCCCCUGGGUCAAGAUUGACGCUCAUGCACGAAAGCUGGGGAGCAAACGAA